UGAGGAAUAUUGGUCAAUGGACGCAAGUCUGAACCAGCCAUGCCGCGUGAAGGAUGAAGGCCUUCUGGGUUGUAAACUUCUUUUAUCGGGGAAGAAAACUAUGGUUUCUACUAUAGCCGACGGUACCCGAGGAAUAAGCACCGGCUAACUCCGUGCCAGCAGCCGCGGUAAUACGGAGGGUGCAAGCGUUAUCCGGAUUCACUGGGUUUAAAGGGUGUGUAGGCGGGCUGUUAAGUCAGUGGUGAAAUCUCCGGGCUCAACCCGGAAACUGCCAUUGAUACUAUCAGUCUUGAAUAUUGUUGAGGUGGGCGGAAUAUGUCAUGUAGCGGUGAAAUGCAUAGAGAUGACAUAGAACACCGAUUGCGAAGGCAGCUCACUAAACAUGUAUUGACGCUGAGGCACGAAAGCGUGGGGAUCAAACAGGAUUAGAUACCCGCGUAGUCC
rnacentral:rRNA from 1 species